rnacentral:lncRNA from 1 species
CUCUCUCUGAUGAUAAGCACUAACUUGCUGGUGAUCUCAACUAACUUCGGCCCUGCAAGAGUCUUCUCUCCUACUUCUUCCCAGCAAACAGGUGUUCGGCACUUCCUCCCAUACAAAGCUUCAUAAGGGGCCAUCCCUAUGCUAGCAUGAUGGCUGUUGUUGUAGGCAAACUCCACCAGAGGUAGAUGCUGCCUCCAAGAACCGCCAAAGUCUAACA